rnacentral:lncRNA from 1 species
AGCUGUAGCUCUGAUUAGACCCCUAUCCUGGGACCCUCCAUAUGCUGCGGGUGCAGCCCUAUAAAGAACAAAAAAAAAAAAAAAAAAAAAUCUGAAAACCUAGAAAGUCUAGGGUACAAUGUUCAUUAUUAUUCUGAUUAUACAGAGAAGAACAGAUACUUUAUUGGUUGUCCUUCCAAGUAAUAUCUUUAACUCUCUCAUGGGGAAAACAGGGCCCUGGAUGCAUUUCUUGAUGGACAGCAUGACAGCCUAGAGGCUACAUAUGAUCCACAGACAGGUUUUGUUUGGCCACAUGGUAUUUCUAAAUUUUGAAUUUGAAUGCUUCUGGGCAAGGGUCCACCUUUCCAGUUGGCUACUGUACUCAUUUCUCUACACUGUCUCACAUAAUCCUGAAUCAGCCCUUAAACUCCCAAUCCUUGGAUUCAUGGACCUCUCAAGGAUUCACCUGUUUUAGUGAACUAGAUUUUAACCAUCAUGGAUAAACAGACAUGCUAACUAGAAUGUGAAGCUGCCAUCAGGCCCCUUCCUAAAUGAUGCAUCCACCUGGAUGCUAUCCACCCCUUACCUGUGGCUUCUUUGAAAUCAGGCCCUCAAAGAAUGUUUAGAAAGGCUGUCUUGUGCUUUAUGAACAGCAUGGAAACAUACUAACCCUCAGUCAGUUGGUGCUGCUAUAAUAAAGGAUUGCAGACGGAAUGGGACUGGGCUGCUUGUGAACAAGUUGAUUUAUUUUCCACAGUUCCAGAGCCUCGAUGUCCAUAAUCCAGGUGCCAACCUCAUCAGGUUUGGGUGAGGGUCCUCUUCCUGGUGGGUGACUGCCUACUUCUGAUGUACCCUCACAUGGCAGAGAGCAGAGGGGGCCGGCAAGCUCUUGCAUGAUGCUUAUAAGGGCACAAAACUCUUAUCUGAGGGUUCCACCUCAUAACCUCACCAAAACGUAUCUAUCCCUGAAGGCCUAACCUCUUAAUAUGAUCACAUCCUGGGCACAGUGUUUCAGCAUAAAUUUCAGCAUAUGGGGACAAAAACAUUCCAUCCAUAACACAUAGCUUGUGGUGGUUGCUAUUUAUUGAAUGCCUAGAACAUACCAGAAAAUAUGCUGUUUAUAAGCACCCUUAAUCUUCUUAACAGUCCUAGAAAGCUAUCACCAUAUCCCACUUAUAAAUGGUCAAACAAACACAAAAGGAUUAACUAAUUUAAGUGAACAAAUAUUUAUUGAGCACCUAGUAUCUGCCAGGCUCUGGGCCAAGAGCUGCCACUGCCAAAGCCUCAUCCUUUCCUUGGUACCACAUUCCCCUCUGCCACACAGGAUCCUCUAUUUUAUGCUCCCUCCAUCUCCCAAUAAAGGCACCCCUGUUCAAGGGCUUGCUUAAUCCACUACUAUUCCAUUUAAAUUAAUGAAUUAGUUAAUCAGUUUCAAUAUUUAAAUAAAUCUGGACUAAUAUUUUUUUUUGUCUUUUUGUCUAUUUAGGGCCGUACCCACGGCAUACGGAGGUUCCCAAGCUGGUGGUUGAACGGGAACUACAGCCACCAGCCUACACCACAGCCACAGAAUGCCAGAUCUGAGUGGUGUCUACAACCUACACCACAACUCACGGCAAUGCUGGAUCCUUAACCCACUGAGUGAGGCCAGGGAACGAACCCGCAUCCUCACGGAUGCUAUUUGGGUUUGUUAACCGCUGAGCCAUGACAGGAACUCCCCAAAUCUGGAACAAUAUUAACGAAGAAGUAUGACUGAAGGAUUGGAUUUGGGUUAGGGACGGAUGUGGAUACAGAGGCCCUUUUGUACAAUUUACCAGAACAAAGAUACACAUCGUCUUUUCUUUUUUAUCUCCAUCCUUCUUUGUCUAGCUGCUAACUACAUGAAGGAACUAGGAAACUGAAAUGGAUAAUCAAAGAGGGCAAUUUUACCACUUAAAUAAUACAGAAAAUAGUCAAUGAGAAAGAUAACCUAGAAAUCAUAAAGACAAUAGGUUAAUCUGAUAUCAAGCCUCCCUGUGUAAGUGGAUCUCGGUACCUUGGCACCAAACAGGUGUUCCCAGGCAGAAAAAGUAACAGGAAGCCUUGAGUUUUACUCCAGAACAUAGCUCCCUUUCAAGUCUCCCCUGCGUUAGAUGUUCCCACUGAUCUUUUUAGGGCUCGAUUUCUUCAGUGGUCCUGAAGGUGCGUGAAAGGAGACACUCUCUGGUUCUCCUGCCAUAGACCCAGUCUCUAAAAGAAAAAUAUCUUGAUUCUGGGAAAUGGCUGUGGAACAUGGCGUAUUGCUAUUAGUUGCUCUUGAAUAAUGUCACGAGUGAAUUACCCACUUUGGAUGGUCCAUGCAUUUAUUCAACACAUUCAAAGCUAGUAAGCACUUCCCAUACGCUUAGAGCUCAAAUAGAUCUCAGCCCAUAGCUGUUAACAAAUGAACAAGGGCCCUCCCUUCAUGGAACGUACGUGCUAAUUAACAAUAGACAAUAAACAAGCAGUAUUCGCCUUCUGCUCAGAAAUAUGAUUGAAGAAACCCAGGACGAUGACGUCACACUAAACUGGUUGACAGAGGCUUGGUGCGCUCAUUGGACUUAUGAAAAAAGUAGAGAGAAUUAAGCAAGUUCCAACUGUCAGAAUUCAAUUUCAAGCUGUCUAGGACACCAACACCAUUUUCCUAAAAUUAACCUUGCCUUUGUGAACCAAGAAGUCCUCUCAUACUUGGUUCUGAUCAGCAAAAUUAAACUUCUUUCAAGUGCAAGAGUUCUUUUCUCUCAUCUCCCAUUCAGAGAAGUUAGGACAAAGUACAGUAGGCAAAGGAUUUCACGAAAGACAAUAGCGUGAAAAUUAAUGCCCAAAUCACCAGCAAAAAAGUAUUUUUUUUUCCCCGAAGGAAAAAACUACACUGUAAAGGUGAGCCAUGUGUUGGGAAGAUUCUGAAUGGGGAUAGAAACCAGGACACAUUUAAGGAAAUUGCCUCCAGUAACUUGGAUAAGAAUGACUCACAAGGAAGAUUUGCAACGUUUCUGUGCAAACUGGACCUAACACAAAGAGAUUCUCUCUCUCUUUGAAAAGAGUAGGUUCUAAAAUGUUUUUGAAUCUGUUCAAAUAAGAUGAGGAGAUAUGCAACCAGAUAAUAAGAGCUUGGCGUUUCUCAUCUCUUUCUCAACAGAACAGGUGAAUCAUGUGGUUCCUGCAUUUCCAACUGUCUCAGUGUUAAACUCACGGGUACGCACAUGGCUGCCUGACAUUUAUGUGGUUGUAAAGGUAAACGUUGAAGCCCGAUGAUAUGGUUCAAUUAUUCUCCCUCCCAGUGAUGAGACCAGCCCUCAGCACCCAUCUUACCAAACUGGCUCAGUGUGGCUUCACGCUGAUUUUCUACUAGCACCUGCUACGAGGAACUGAGCCCCGACCAGCCACAAAAAUCAUCUUCCACUGGUUGAUUCCCUGGACACUUCACAAACGGUUUAGAGUGGGAACACACAUGAAAUGAACGUGUGUUCAUAUAUAGGGAGUUUACUGAAGAUUUAGGGACGUAUAAAAAGAAAAAUAAGCAAACUAAGAUGUUCAGAAGCUAAGCCCUACAGCUAUAAAAGUACUCAUUCCAAGUGCUCUUUGGCAAAUUCAAAGUGAGAAACAGUAUGAAUAUAUAACCGUCCACAUUAGAUUGGGCACAAAACACUAUACUAUUAAGCCAUCAAAACUGGUGAUUAGUGAAUCAAGAAAAAUGUUCACCAUGAUGAUCAAUGUAAGUGUAGUAAAAUUCACUGAGG